ensembl:lncRNA
AUCUCUUCUUGGAGAUUGCUCCUCAUGGAGUUUUUGUGAGCCUAUGAUGUUGGGGGAACUGAACUGUUGCAGUUUAGAUAGUUCAUCUUCUCUGAGAUGCCACAGUCAAAGAAUCAGAUUUAUGAUUAUUACCUAAGGGAGACUUGAUCCAGCAAGCAUUGGUGAAUGUCAGUGGGUACCAUUUUUUUCCACAUGGCGGAAUUCAGUGACACACCAUUACUUCGUAUAUGCACUUCCAUGUCAGACACCAUUUUGUCAACCACCCCUCUGCUGCCAUCUGUCACAUGGUAUCAACAUGCCAUGGGAUGUUUGUGGGAAGUUCAGCCCCUACUGCAAUACCACCAACAUCUGCCUCUGAUGUUGUGAACCAACGUAAUAAAAUGGGAAACAUGGCUUUCGGAGCAGCCCUUGUGUCUGUAAAAGAAGGAGAAUGUAGAUCUGUUUUGCAUAAAAAGAAAUAUUUACUCAGAUUCCUCUCAAAGAAGGGUCUUCAGAAAACUGUCUUUCCAUGAGACAUUCCAACAAUUUUUCUCUGUCAUGGCAGUCCAUUUCAGCUCAUUUCAAUUCACACAGAUAAAAACCAUUGCUUCCUGCUCCUACUGAACAGAAGGCCAUAACAUGCAUGUAGCACUAUCAGGAGGCAGCAAUGUCAGGUUUUCUUUAGAUAGAUUUCAUCUUUUAGUUAAUAUUUUACAGAAUUGGGGCACUUUUAAAUCUGGUUUUAAUAAAUUUUGUUUUGUGAAAAGCCAAACUAAUGGUUUUCAUCAAGUGUGGUUUAGCCGUAGGCUUUCAAGAACUGAGACAGCAUCUUCCACACCAUCAAUGUCAAAUAUUUUGUGUGUUUCUCUGUGGCCUGUAACUGGCAUGUAAGAACUUCUUUCUUUAUAAAAUACUACCAAUAGAUAGCUAUAGGGAGGCUGCCAUUGCUGUAGGAUUGCAGUCAUUGCUGUGGUUAUUCUCCCAUUUUUCCAUCCAUCCCAAGCAGGAGCUGCCCCUAUUCUGUAAAGUCAAUUUCUUUGUGGAGAUAUAAAUUAAAUAAAUGUUUUUUCUCAAGGAUGAAGUAACUUUAAUUUUCUCUGUAGAUUACCAAUUAUUGCAAAUUGAUGAAGUCUUGUAUGUUUUUCCAGGCAUUUUUAUCUGAGGAAUUUUGAACCUGAUGCUUAUGGAUUCCUAAUAACACUACAAAGAUAGCAAUGAAUUUUAUCUCUCUGCUUGCCAUCUCCCCUGACUUGCAGGCAGCAAAAAACUUGCCUUCAAAGCAUUUCUGCUCUCUUAUGAGAGCAUGUGAGUGUCCUGUGGCAGCUGAAACUUCCAAUAUAUUUAACUUGGGGGUCAGAAUGAGCUGUCUUGUGGUGGUAUUUAUAAAGUAUCUAAAUGGAAAUUUCUCAGUGCCAUUACAAGAACAUUGGGGUUGCUUGUGCAGUUUCAAAUGGCGUUGCAUUUGAAGAAAGGAUUCUGGGGUUAAGUUUUCCCAGAUGGGAAAAAUCCAACGUAGGCAUCGCCACAGAACAAAGGUGCUCUUUUCUUCCAGGAUAAAUUGGUUUAUUUCCACAGUUAUGUUCUAUCUUUUCUAAUAGAUGGAUUGUGAAUGAUUGUAUUAAAUAAAAUACAAGCAAGACAUUAUUGGUUAAACUGAAAUGAUCAUUUGUUUAAAGGAUAUUCCUGUUGUCUGAACUGUCACGCACAUGAGCAGUCCUGUCUCAGGAAAUACUUCCAUUUUGAUUAACUGUAAAGAAUUUUGUUGACCUGAUAGACUCUUCUGAGAGCUGACAAACACCACGUCAAAAUAAUGUCAAGAUUAAAAAGUUGGUAAUACAAUUGAAAGUCAACAAAGCAUUGCAGUAUGUUCCUUUGAAAAAUGGAUCUUGGCCUAUCAGAACAUUGUUGAUGUAUAUCAAGUCAGAAAGAAAAACUUCAAUUAUUUGAAGGCAAAAUAAAAUAGCUCUGUAUCUCUACCAAAUGCAAGGUGAUAUGCAUUCAGGUUUCUGUAUAUGAAUGAGGAGUAUAUUUGGAGACUGGUGCCUCUUAAAUGGGUUUAUGGUUCAGCUGGUGUUGGAUGACAGUUAAAACAAAUGCAAUCUUUGAAUGUGUAAAAAUGAGAGUAUUGGGUGUAUGUCACUAGUUAGUAUGUGUGUUAGUAUGACACUAACAGGAGAAUUGAGAAAAUUGAGCUAGGCCUGAGGCUUAUGUAUUGAAAAGGGUGUUAGCUGGUAGAAAAUGUUCUGAAGCAAAGGAAAUGAAUGAUUCAGGCUUGACAAAUUUUCCUGUAAUUAUGACACAUGUUUUAACACUAAUUAACAAAUGCAAAAAUCACACUGAUGAAGAUAUUAAUUAUCAUAGAGGAACUAAAAUCUGUGUCCAGGGCAACUGAUUUUCUGAAUGAGAAAUACAUACAACUUCUGUUAUAUAGGAUGGAAAAGAGGAGCUAGAGCAAUCACUUUGGUACAAAAUUCUGUGAGUGCUC